UUUUUUUUUUGUAAAAACUCUCUGCAUCUUGCAGGCUAACUCACUGGCAAAACGAAAACUCAAAAGGCUGUACUUCACUGACAGUCUCACUAGUCUCCUUGAUGUGACAAGAGCAGCGCAGCGGGGAUCUCAUGAUCUUAUGAGAUUAAUACAGUUUCCCGGUUCCCCUGAGAGAAACAUGAACCUGGAGUCAAUGUCUGCUAACUGCAUCUCUGCAAAAAGGUGCAGGAUUCAUUACAUCCUCAUUUGUGGUCCGAGCAGCCGGCCCAUACUGACACUUUGCAUGGGAGACAACAGCAGCAAGCUGAGAGCCCACAAUCCUCCAAAUCGGCUGCAGUGGCUGGUCCACCUCAGCAGGAGGGCUCAGG